AUUGAACCCACUGAUAUUUGCACCCGCACCAAACUAAACCAGCGGCACAACUGUGGUUUGAAAACCAUUUGGCUUAAAUGGUUUACACCUAUACAAGACUAAGAACUGCAAGCACUACGAAAACAAACUGGAUAACUACGGACUGCUGUUGUGUCCGUUAGUCCCGGCCGUGGCAUCCGAAUCUUCAGGUAGUGAACAAACCGGAUCUCUACAACUACAAGCACCGUGUCACCGAAACAAUGCAACUCCAUGUCACAAGAAAAGUAAUAUAAGGAAAAAAAACAAAUUACGUGCAGCUGGUUUCAGUCCACAAUAAUCUGAAUCAGUACUGCAAACUGCAAUCUGGAGUUUCAGACCCAAACCAAACCAUUAUAACUUGUUCCCACUGUAACCAAAACCAAACUAAACUCUUUGGAGUUUCAGCCCAUUAAUACCUAAACCAUUUAUACCAUUAUAACUUGUUCCCACUGUGAACCGUUCUCGGGCCUACAUUCAACAGAGCCUUGUUCAUUGUGUAUUUCCUUUGACCAAUAUCUUUGAAGAUUUAAUUUAGAACAGAUUGGAUAAGUUGACUGCACGUAAGUAAGGAGUAAAUGAGGUUUGGUGGCAAGCGGUAAUCAUAAACAACCACAGUUAAACGACACAAGAUGAAAUUAAAUUAAACUACUGUAGUAAUUAAAUUUGGUAGCCGUAGGAUGUCAGCAAAAAGGGGUAUUGGGCCAUGACGGCCGUCCGAUCCUCGUAUCUGUCCGCUGCGCGAACGAAAGGGCGAAACAGGCUAAACAUCAAGCAGAAAGCAACAACAAGUUCAUAAGUAGCACACACGGACUAGAACGUCGGCUAAGUGGUACGAGCGAGAGAGAGAGUGAGCCUUGCUGCUCCCGCCGCGCCACUGGCCACUCCGGCCGUGGCAGCCACCCUCCCCCUCCGUUGCCCCCGCGUCCGGUCUCCUCCAUGUGCUCUGGGAGUCACGCGCCUCGGCGGGCGUCGCCCCCUCCUGGGCCCGCUGGUUCCUCGCACGCUGCUGCAGGAGUUGCCCGCUCCCUCGUCCGAUCCAGUAGGUCCUCGCCGUCGCCCUUCAGAUCUGCAGCCGCUGCCUUGAGCUCGUCAACGCUCCACGCUCCCUCCCGCUCCUACGCUGAUGCAGUCGCCCUUGGCGGUCCGUGCGACGCGCCUGCGCUCCUCGGGAAGGCGCACUCUGCUCCAUCCUCCCCCCGCUCGGUCUGGCGGUCCGAGGCGCGACCGCGCCUGUCGUCUGUGGUGGUCGGCUCCUUGCCCUCCCUGCCUGCUGCCGAGAAGGGAAAUCCCUGGAUCUCAGUGCCCUCUAGAAGCCGCCGCCCCUCCCCGCUCAAUGGGCGGUUGCCCAAGCUGCCCGGUUCUUCCCGCCGCCCUAAUGGCGCCUCAUCCCCGAGCCCCGCCCGUGCUGCCUUCUUAAGGCGAUUCAGGGGACGCUGUUUCCGCUGCCUCAGUACCAAUCACCGCCGUGCCGCCUGCCGCGACCCACCUCGCUGCAUCGAGUGCUGGGCUUGGGGCCAUCUGGCGUCCGAGUCCUCUCGCUGCCGCGCCGCUCGCCGCUCCCCCGCUACUCCUGCGCCGCUCACUGCAGCCCGCCCCAGCCUGCCUGUGCGCUUCCCUGCACCCCCGCCUUCCGCUGAGAUGCUCAGCCGGGCCAUCACCAUGCCGGCGCCUCGCCGCUCGGGCUCCACCCACUCAGUCGUCAUGGCUUCACGCUUUGUUGAGCACCAGGUGUUCGUCCUUCGCAACCACGGAGUGCUCGCCAAGGCCAUCGACAAGCACCACUCCGCCAGCCCGAUCCUCGUCGGCAAGGCGAUCAGAGGCACCCGUCAUCACCCCGAGGCGUUCUUCAUCCACUUCGACUUCCCUGCGCACCGCGACCGUGCGAGGUCGUCAACGACUCCGCGUUCAUCCUCCAGCCAUGGCGUGAGCUGGACCACGGCUCGAUUGAGCGCCACGACCUCCACGUCCGCGUCGCGAUUGAGAAGAUGCCCUUGCACCUUUGGUCCAUUGAGGGCGCCGAGCAGGUGUUCGGCAAGGACGUCAUCGUAGACCGCCUCUACAGCCGCACCUACGCCAAGGAGGACACCCGGCUCUUCAGCUGCUGGGUUUGGUGUCGGUCUCUCGACCGCAUCCCCAGCGACCAUGCCUUCACCGUCUUCCGCAGCGGCGCCGGCCGGGUGGAGGAAAUGCACGGCUUCUCGCCUCCGCGCCGCUAGAUCGCUCCGCCGCCCGAAGUUCUGGAAGGCCAAGAUGAAGGCAUACAUCAUGACACAAAGUUACGCCAUAUGGGAGAAAAUCGCCAAGUCCUACGAGCUCCCCGCGGACGAUGCGAUCACACCAACAAACUUGGUCCAUGUGGAGAACAACUACAAGGCGAGGAACUACAUCAUCCAAGGUCUACAACGAAGUGACUUCGACCGUGUCGCUCACCUUGCAUCUGCUCAUGAGGUAUGGAAUACACUUUGUAGUUAUCAUGAAGGAUCAAACUCUGUUAAGGAGGUGCGUAAGGACACGUACAAAAAGGAGGAUAUGAAAUUUGAGAUGAAGACAGGUGAAUCUUUGUAUGAAUUCUUUGCACGUUUUAAUAAGAUUCUCAGCAACUUACGUGCAUUAGGUGUUACCUAUACUGAUGUUGAGGCUUCUAGGCAACUUUUGAGUGCUUUAGAUAUGUCCAUAUGGGAGAUGAAAGUUACAUCUAUUAGAGAAUCUACAACCAUGAGCACACUUACACUUGAUAUCUUAUACUCAAAACUGAAAACUCAUGAAUUAGAUAUUCUUGGUAGGAGAACCGGUUCCAAAUCAAUUGCACUUGUUUCUAACCCUAGCCGCUCUAAUGGUAAUACUUCAUAUUUCUAUGCUCUGUCUUUUUUGUCUCAACUAACUGAUGAACAGUUAGAGCAAUGCCCAGAAGAAGAGUUGGCACUCCUCACCUCUUAUUUUACACGUGCCCUGCAAAAUGUUCGUUCAAGGAAGAGAGGUGGGAACAAUGCUCUAAGGUGUUUUGAAUGCGGUGAUCCCAAUCACUUUCGCCAAAAUUGUCCCAAAUUCUAUACAAGAUGGCGAAAGAAGAGAAUGGGGAGGACAAGAAGAAGAAGCGCCCCUUCAACAUCAAGAAUAAAAAGAGAGGUGACUUUGCUCGAGUAGUGACUCACAGUAUUUUCUCCGUAAUCAAUGAAUAUGGUGAACCAUGCUUGAGUGAUGUGGAUAUCGAGUCUGAUGAAGAUGAUGCAUCCAAAGGCAAGCGUGACAUUAGUGGGAUGUGUCUUAUGGCUAGCAACAAGAGUGAUACCUCCUACGACGACUACGACAGUGACAGCAACAAUGAGGUAGAACUUUCUUAUGAUGAAUUACUUAAAAGUGCUAGUAAAUUAAGUUCCUUGCUUGAUCAUGCUAAUAAAAGAAUUAAGAAAUAUGACUUGAAAAUUGCAUCCUUGAAUUCUGAAAUUACUAAACUUAAGUUUAUGAUUCCUGCAAGUCUUGUGAUUCUAUAUAUUUUGAGUUUACAUCUUUGCGUUCUAUUCAUGAUGAUACUCUUGAUAAGUUUAGAGUUGCAUUAGAAAACAAUGAGAAACCUAUUGUGCAUAAACGUAAACAAAUUAAUGAUGCUAGUAUGGAUACUUCUGAUUUGACAGAUUUAACUUCUUGUAAUAAUUGUCAUAUUCUUGAAUUGAAGUUGAAAGAUGCAAAUGCUAGGGUUUCCGAUGUUAAACAUGCUUUACAUAUCAAUGAGGUUUCUUUGUGCGCUAAUUGUAGAAGUGGAAAAAAAAUCAUGGAUGAUGCUUGUGACAAUUGUAUUGCCCUGUCUCAUCAAGUUAAUUAUUUACAAGCAUCUUUACAGAAAUUUUCUAAUGGGCACAAAGAUCUGAAUAUGAUCUUAGAUAAGUAUAAAGUGAGUAAAAACAAGACCGGACUUGGUUUUAAUGCACAUGCUCAUUUUAAGGCUAAUCCACCCACUAUAGUUAAGUCACUUGGCAAUGGAAUUUUUGAAACAUCUGACAAGCCAAUCAAUGUGAUUUUUAAAUCUGCCGGCAUCAUGUCUAAUGAUACUUCAACAAUUGCAAAUGUCGGUCAUAUAUCACAUGCUAAACCUGGAAGUAGGUACAAUUGCACUUAUUGUAAUAAACCUGGACAUGGUGUAGGUUUUUGUUUUAGACUAGCUAGAGUAAUUAAAAAAGAAAGAAAACAAGCUCGAUAUAAUUCCUUCAAGGCACAUUAUACUCAUGAUAAAACUAUUGGUCCCCGUUAUGUGCCUAGGGUGAAUGUUUCACCUUCCGUUUCAACUUGCACGAGACACGUACAAUCUGUUCCAAUGUAUAAGGAAACUCGUGCUUUGCCUACUCGUCGUAUAUCUCAGUACUGGAUACCUAAAAGUUUUUUAUCUAACCCCAGUACGGAGAUCUCGGCAUGUGUUUGUUGUCUGUGGGCACUUCUCUUGAGAAAGGGAAACAUAUGGCUAGUGGAUUCCGGUUGUUCUCGUCACAUGACCGGUGAUAAAAAUUGGUUCUCCUCCCUCACACGUGCAUUUCGGGCUAGAAGUAUAAUUUAUGAAGAUGCUUGUACCUCUACUUUUGUGGCGAAAGUCCUCUUAUUCGUAAUGCAGGAACAUAUGUUCAGGGGGAGAAAAUAUUUUUAGAGGUCAUACCCUUAUUGGUGCACGUUGGGUAUUAUGUUAGUUUUUGCAACAAGGCUAGGUUUGAAGCUUCCUCACGCGCAUCACAUCUACAAGUUGUCAAAAGGAUUUUCAGGUAUCUACAUGGCACCCAAUCUUUUGGCAUUUGGCUUUCUGCUUCCUCUAGUAUUACAUUGCGUGCAUUUUCGGAAUGCUAAUUUUGGAGGUUGUAAAUUGAUAGAAAGAGUACAUCUGGUACAUGCUUAUUUUUGGGUGACUCUUUAGUACUUUGGUCUUCUAAGAAACAAAGUUCUGUUGCACAAUCUACUGCUGAAAGUGAAUUUGUAGUU